rnacentral:rRNA from 1 species
UACAGAGGUGGCAAGCGUUGUUCGGAAUUACUGGGCGUAAAGGGCGCGUAGGCGGUCUUGCAAGUCCUGUGUGAAAUCCCUCGGCUCAACUGAGGAACUGCACAGGAAACUGCUUGGCUUGAGUUCGGGAGAGGGAAGCGGAAUUCCGGGUGUAGCGGUGAAAUGCGUAGAUAUCCGGAGGAACACCGGUGGCGAAGGCGGCUUCCUGGACCGACACUGACACUGAGGCACGAAAGCGUGGGGAGCAAACAGG